rnacentral:tRNA from 1 species
CAAGUUAAAGUUUAUUUUAAAUAUUUCAUUUACAUUGAAAAGAAAUUGAUUAAUUUCAUUUAAUUUGG